AAGAAAAAACAUUUCCGUUUCUCGUGGAGUGAAGAAAUUACUGAGUACACACUACACAGUUCAUAUUACAAAAAUGAUACUGUUCAUAUUAGAAAUUAAUAGACAUUAUUAAUUGUGGUCAAUAACCAACAAAUUUAUAAUCAAUAGCUAAAGACAAUAAAUUAAUUAAAGGUACACUAAUAACUAAAAGAAUUCUAGUGUUGAGCUUGAAGUUGAUGGCGAAUUUCUGAGUCUGAAACGCGCUUUUUGUAUUGAGCAAUAUAAGCUGUAGCUCUCAUGUCAAUGACAGGAUCAGCUACACCCCAACUACCUUUGUCUUCAUCACUUGGCCACACUUUGGACCCUGUCUUUGUCCCUUCUUCAUAAGCUUUGUAAUUACUCUCCCCUCUAUGCUUGUUGUUAGAUUUGAAAAUGUUGAAAAUAGAUAGAAAAGAUGAUGACUUUCUUUGCCUAUUUUUGACCCCCAUUACCUUAACUAUAUGUAUGAAAUACACUUCUACUACUACUAGUAAGUGAGUGAGUUUUAGUAUUAGCUUUGGUGACUUGAAAGGAACUUGAAGUUUUGUCUCAAUUUAUAGUAGGAGUCUCAAGUCUCAAGUCUAAACCCCUUGUGACAACAGAAUCUGAUUCAAACCACUUCCAUUACUAUUGUCCAUUGUCUAUAAAGGUGACAUGGAACAUUGUGUACUGUUUUUACUUUUGGUAAAGGCACAUUUUUUGUGGUCCUCUGGUUUUAUUAAGUUAUAGGGUUGGUUGGUUUGGUUUUGGCUAAUGCUAUAUGUUCUCAUUUCUUGUUUGAUCAUGG
rnacentral:lncRNA from 1 species